CAUUUUGUUGAGGGGUAUGAGGACAGGAAGUUUGAUGUAUGAUCCCCUGGAUGCUAAAAAAGGAAAUACCCUCAUUGCUAGAGCCCAAUUCUAAGGCAUCGUCACUUCUAACAGUCUGAACCACAGCAUUAAAUUGGGUUUUGACCAGAGAAAGAAAUGACUUAAGCAUAGAAAAAGCAUUGCUUUUGGAUCCCAGUAGGUGUGUCCAUGUUGCCCUUGAAAAAUCAUCAACAAUUUAAAUUGGGUUUUAAUCAGAGAAAGAAAUGACUUAAGCAUAGAAAAAGCAUCGCUUUUGGAUCCCAUUAAGUGUGUCCAUGUUGCCCUAAAAAAAUCAUCAACAAUUGUAAGAAAAUAUCUACAACCAGAAGAGGUUGGAGUAUGAUAAGGUCCCCAAGUGUCCACAGGAAUCAGUUGAAAGGGUCUAGAGGUCUUAAUGGAACUAUCAGGAAAUGGAAGCCUAGUCUGUCUGGCCAUAGGACAGACUGAACAAGGAAAGGGUUGUCUGGAAGCAAAUGGAAAAGACAGGCCAGAAAUGCAUUUCAUAUUUGCAAAAGGAGUAUGUGCAAGUCUUAAGUGCCAAUGUAAUUCAUAUCAGAUGUAAAAUCAUUAUUACAGAUGGAACUAUUUACAUGUGAAGGCAAUGGAACAGCUUUGUGAUCAGACAAGAUGUCAUCAUUACAAGAAACAGACACAGAAGGCAAUGCAACAACUUUGCUAUCAUUACAAGAAGCAGAUACAGGACAACACAGAAUGUCAUCAUUACAAGAAACUGACACAGAAGGCAAUGCAACAACUUUGCUAUCAUUACAAGAAGCAGAUACAAGACACACAGAAGUAGAGGAACGACUAACAGAGGAAGAAGGGGAAGGAGGGACCCAAGCCAGUUUAAAUAAGCCAGCAGCUUCUCUACCAAGAUCCAGAGGCCUCCUCAGAGAAGGGUUCUGUAUCAUGUGUAGUAAGCAGGAAUGUUCAGUGAACAUGACUAUACAAUGCAACUGCUUCACGGAGGAGUUUUGGGCAGUGGAGUCCCCUAACUUGGUAUGGUGUAAUAAAUUCAUCAACUGCUCAUAAUCUUGUCUGCUCAACCCUGGUAUCACAAAGCUCUGGCCAUCUAUUCUUGCAACAGAUUGAUGGAUAUCAGGAGGAUUCCCUUGAGGAGCAGACAAAAGUCCAUCAGAAUGAGGAGAAUCCAGACCAGUACUUAGAUGAGCAGCAUCAGGUCUCCUCUUGUUAAAAGUGGUACUUUGUGGAUACCCAUGGAUCUUGAAGCACUUAUCAAUUAAGUGUCCCAGUACUCAGAUGAGCAGCAGCAGGUCUCCUUCUCUUGUUAAAAGUGGUACUUUGUGGAUACCCAUGGAUCUUGAAGAACAUAUCAAUUAAGUGUUCAGAUUUUUUACAGUAUCUACAAAAUAAAGGUCCCCUGGCUUGGUCAAAAUUGACUCUCUAUCUGAAAGGAGGAGGAGGAACAGACAGUGUAGCCUUGUUAAAUCCAACAGGUUGCCUAUUAGUAUGUACAUUGAAAGAGACAGAGUCUGGAUUGAAAUGAGAAGAAGACUGGACUUGUCUUUGUUUCUCAUCAUUGAGGACCAUAUUAUAUACAUUGUCAAGGAGGAGGCUGCAUCAUCAAAAUAUUACUCCUGACCCCCAUAUAUGCUUCAUUCAGACCCAUUAAAAACUGAAAGACCUUAUUGUCNNN
rnacentral:lncRNA from 1 species